rnacentral:rRNA from 1 species
UGGGGAAUAUUGCACAAUGGGCGAAAGCCUGAUGCAGCAACGCCGCGUGAGUGAUGAAGGUCUUCGGAUUGUAAAGCUCUGUCUUUUGGGACGAUAAUGACGGUACCAAAGGAGGAAGCCACGGCUAACUACGUGCCAGCAGCCGCGGUAAUACGUAGGUGGCGAGCGUUGUCCGGAUUUACUGGGCGUAAAGGGUGCGUAGGCGGAUGUUUAAGUGAGAUGUGAAAUACCCGGGCUUAACUUGGGUGCUGCAUUUCAAACUGGAUAUCUAGAGUGCAGGAGAGAAGAAUGGAAUUCCUAGUGUAGCGGUGAAAUGCGUAGAGAUUAGGAAGAACACCAGUGGCGAAGGCGAUUCUCUGGACUGUAACUGACGCUGAGGCACGAAAGCGUGGGUAGCAAACAGGAUUAGAUACCCUGGUAGUCCACGCCGUAAAACGAUGAGUACUAGGUGUAGGAGGUAUCGACCCCUUCUGUGCCGCAGUAAACACAUUAAGUACUCCGCCUGGGAAGUACGAUCGCAAGAUUAAAAC